AUGGGGUGCAAACGUUGCUCGGAAUUAUUGGGCGUAAAGCGCACGUAGGCGGUUUGUUAAGUCGGAUGUGAAAUCCCUCGGCUCAACUGAGGAAGUGCAUCCGAAACUGGCAGGCUUGAGUACUAAAGAGGGUCGCGGAAUUCCCGGUGUAGAGGUGAAAUUCGUAGAUAUCGGGAGGAACACCGGUGGCGAAGGCGGCGACCUGGGUAGAUACUGACGCUGAGGUGCGAAAGCGUGGGUAGCAAACAGG
rnacentral:rRNA from 1 species